AAUGGGUCAGCGACUUAUAUUCUGUAGCAAGGUUAACCGAAUAGGGGAGCCGAAGGGAAACCGAGUCUUAACUGGGCGUUAAGUUGCAGGGUAUAGACCCGAAACCCGGUGAUCUAGCCAUGGGCAGGUUGAAGGUUGGGUAACACUAACUGGAGGACCGAACCGACUAAUGUUGAAAAAUUAGCGGAUGACUUGUGGCUGGGGGUGAAAGGCCAAUCAAACCGGGAGAUAGCUGGUUCUCCCCGAAAGCUAUUUAGGUAGCGCCUCGUGAAUUCAUCUCCGGGGGUAGAGCACUGUUUCGGCAAGGGGGUCAUCCCGACUUACCAACCCGAUGCAAACUGCGAAUACCGGAGAAUGUUAUCACGGGAGACACACGGCGGGUGCUAACGUCCGUCGUGAAGAGGGAAACAACCCAGACCGCCAGCUAAGGUCCCAAAGUCAUGGUUAAGUGGGAAACGAUGUGGGAAGGCCCAGACAGCCAGGAUGUUGGCUUAGAAGCAGCCAUCAUUUAAAGAAAGCGUAAUAGCUCACUGGUCGAGUCGGCCUGCGCGGAAGAUGUAACGGGGCUAAACCAUGCACCGAAGCUGCGGCAGCGACACUGUGUGUUGUUGGGUAGGGGAGCGUUCUGUAAGCCUGUGAAGGUGUACUGUGAGGUAUGCUGGAGGUAUCAGAAGUGCGAAUGCUGACAUAAGUAACGAUAAAGCGGGUGAAAAGCCCGCUCGCCGGAAGACCAAGGGUUCCUGUCCAACGUUAAUCGGGGCAGGGUGAGUCGACCCCUAAGGCGAGGCCGAAAGGCGUAGUCGAUGGGAAACAGGUUAAUAUUCCUGUACUUGGUGUUACUGCGAAGGGGGGACGGAGAAGGCUAUGUUGGCCGGGCGACGGUUGUCCCGGUUUAAGCGUGUAGGCUGGUUUUCCAGGCAAAUCCGGAAAAUCAAGGCUGAGGCGUGAUGACGAGGCACUACGGUGCUGAAGCAACAAAUGCCCUGCUUCCAGGAAAAGCCUCUAAGCAUCAGGUAACAUCAAAUCGUACCCCAAACCGACACAGGUGGUCAGGUAGAGAAUACCAAGGCGCUUGAGAGAACUCGGGUGAAGGAACUAGGCAAAAUGGUGCCGUAACUUCGGGAGAAGGCACGC
rnacentral:rRNA from 1 species